rnacentral:misc_RNA from 1 species
CCGAGUGAGGGCCCUCUGGGUCCAACCUCCCACCCGUGUUUAUCGUACCUUGUUGCUUCGGCGGGCCCGCCUCACGGCCGCCGGGGGGCACCCGCCCCCGGGCCCGCGCCCGCCGAAGACACCAUUGAACGCUGUCUGAAGUAUGCAGUCUGAGACAACUAGCUAAAUUAGUUA